rnacentral:SRP_RNA from 2 species
GCCGGGCAUGGUGGCGGGUGCCUGUAAUCCCAGGUACUUGGGAGGCUGAGGUAGGAGAAUCACUUGAACCUGGGAGGCCGAGGUUGCAGUGAGCUGAGAUCGUGUCACUGCACUCCAGCCUGGGUGAUAGAGUGAGACUCCAUCUUAA